UACGUAGGGUGCGAGCGUUGUCCGGAAUUACUGGGCGUAAAGAGCUCGUAGGUGGUUUGUCGCGUUGUCCGUGAAAACUCACAACUCAAUUGUGGGCGUGCGGGCGAUACGGGCAGACUGGAGUACUGCAGGGGAGACUGGAAUUCCUGGUGUAGCGGUGGAAUGCGCAGAUAUCAGGAGGAACACCGGUGGCGAAGGCGGGUCUCUGGGCCGAAACUGACGCUGAGGAGCGAAAGCGUGGGGAGCAAACAGGA
rnacentral:rRNA from 1 species